GGAGAGUCCAGACUGUAGACUGGAGACUCUGGGAUUGAGUUGGUGCAGGUUGUCAGAGAUCAGCUGUGAUUCUCUGGUCUCAGCUCUGAAGUCCAACCCCUCCCAUCUGAAACAUCUGGACCUGAGUUACAACUACCUGCAGUAUUCAGAUGUGGAGCAGCUUCUUGAUCUUGUGAAGAGUCCAGACUGUAGACUGGAGACUCUGAAGUGGAAGCCAUCGUUCUAAACAGGACGGUAUGUGAGCUGAGAGAGGAUGAGCUGAGUCCUGAUGAUCCAGAGGUUGAAUCAGCAGCAGCUUGUGUGUAGAGAGACUCUGACUGGACCAUGUUACUGGGAGGUGGAGUCAAGAGGAGAGCUUCAUCCACAUGUUUCUCAUUUAACAUCAUGAACAGAGCUGCAAUCAAUCUAUUCUAACAGAACCAACAAAUAAAGUCCAGCUCCUCUUGAAUUUUCACCUCUAGAUGGAGCCAAAUCUCCACUAAAGACCUUCAUGGAGUCAGGGCUGAAUAUAUAUUAUUAUUAUUGUUAUUAAAUAACAGUAUACGUGUGUUUUAACAUUUAGCACUUCAGCUAAAACAGUUCUUCUACAUGGGAAGCGUUUUUCUUUGUGUGUUUCUUUUACUUUGUGUCAGGAAACAUUGAAAAUACCACAUAAAAUAUAAAGUAAAAGUGGGAAAUGUUCUUAUAUUAAAGAGUAAUUAUAGAAGUCAGAGUACAGGAAGUCUGCCAUUUUUCUGAGAAAUGUUUUUUGCAAUUUGUAUGUUUUCAAUAAAACAAAUAAAAUAAAAAUUGUACAGAGUACAGUGAUGUUGUGGAAGCACAAUUUUAUUUCAUGACAUCUUUUAAUUGUAAAUAUGAAAGCAGCCAUGUGCUAUAAAAUGAGUAAUGCUGAUGCUGUGUUGGUUAAAGUAAAUGAUGCGAAAUUUGACAAAUUGUGAGUGUAUUAGUAAAACGUUGAAAUACUUUAGUAGAAAAAUAACUUGAAUAAAUGUAUUAAUUAAAUCA